AUCUCUCUCUCUAUGACUCAGUGAAGGCUGUGGUUGUGUUCCUGGGUUUACAUCCACACUGGCCUUCUGGAUGUCCAGAGUCACCCUUAUCUUAGAACGUGCACCGUUUUAUGUGGCUUCCCCUUCCCUGUGCACAGUCACAGAACUACUGACAACCAGCGAAGCUGGGUAACCACGGGGUUGUUUCUCAUCUCUUGGAGAACAUUGACCUCGGUUGCCCGAUACUGGCUGUGUUAAGAACUGUAGUUUCAUGCAUGUUUACAGGUUUGUUCCAGGAAGGAAGGUAAACACGAUCUCUCUAAUCCCAGUCUUGACUGAAAACAGAGUUCACAUCAUUUUCCCCUGAAUAAACAAACAGUGACUGUGCUGUUGGGCUCUUUCCUCCCAAGUGGAACAUUCGCAUUUUGAAGUGAAGUUUAAAAGGCUUGGGAAAACAUGGAGGCUCAGGAAACUCAGGACGUUUAGAAGUCUCUGGAAGCUCAGAAACUAGCAAGACUUACAAGGCAGCUGCCAAAUGUUACGUAGCUUCUCUCCUUGGUGUUGCCUACUGUUCGGGUAGGUAACCAGGGACACAGCUUUGGUGAGUCACUUUCCGUAUCGGGUGAGAUCUGGAAAACUCUGAGGACAUAGAGUCACCAUGCUCCCGCAAGAAGCCCCAGUAAACUCAUGAGCUCACCAGGAUAGACUCGGGUGGAAUCUUUUCUUUGGUCUGUCAGGAUCCUCUGAGGUGAGUAGGUCUUGUUCACAUGUCCCCUGGGACAGUCCUGCACCUCAGGCUAAGGAAAGCCUCAGGCCUAUGGAACAGAGACGUGCCCCACAGACUAGAGGCAGGUGCUGGCCUCUUGGAGAGAGAGGAAAUGGAGUGUCUAGGGGCUGGAGCUGGGGAGAGUUGCAAAGGAGGUUAAAAGGGCUGACAUUACAUCUUUGGUGUUUUAUUUCUUGAUCUGGGACAAUCAUGCUCUCCAAGUUAUUUAGUAUUUGAAAGUUUGCAUGACAAUUUUGUCAGAAAAGGCCACCAUCUCCCCUAAUGUUGGGUCCCUUCCCUCUACACGUGUAGAAGGGCCACACAGGGUUCACUCUCUCCUGACCUUCUCAGAAAGAUCACGGACACAUAAUACAUUCUGCUGUGGCCUUUUGUGUUGAAGUUUGCUGUUUGCUUUUCUGGGGAAAAAAUUCUUCACUUUCCCUUUAGCCCCUGAGGCUCUGAUCACCUCCAGCUCUGUGUAAGUCUUGGAGCCUUUGGAUUGGUAGAGCACAGCUGGGGCGGAGCGUGCCUGCCUUCUGUGUCCAGACUAGAACCCGGGCUCUGCUGUCGCUCGAGUGAUCUACCAUGGGGCCAUAACCUAAAACCCAGAUCUUAAUACGUGAGACGUCACUAAUGGAGGCUCCUCGGACUCUCAGGUCUGUCCUUCCCUAGAGCUGGAAUCCCCAUGGGGCUCUUGCCUCCUGAAUGUCCAUGCCAGGGUUGCAGGCAUCUAGGGCCUGCUUUGG
rnacentral:sRNA from 1 species